CUUCAUCCUGUCCCUUUUCUGUCAUAGUUAGCCACGUUAGCUCGCUAGCCCAACCUACAUCCACUGACACUGGGUAACGAUACUGCUGCUAAUGUUAGCUUGACAACAGUGCUAAAUAAAAACCUCAACGAGCGCCCACUAAUUCCAAGUUACCGACAAACUGUCGAGAUAACGAAUGCAUCACAGUGUUAGAGAUGAGGUCUAUUGGUGUUGCUGAGCUAAUCAGUGCAGGGAGAUAAAAUCAGUCCAGAGUUUCCAUGAUGUCUUCAUUUGCCAUUUGUCCAUCAGUUAAAUGUAAUAAAACAGCGAAAUGAAAAUUGUGAUUUAAAAUACUUCUUUUAUUUUUUCUUGAACAAAGAAAAUCAGACAUUAUAUUUUCUUAAGAGCAUAAAGUAUAUGACUAGUUAACUUGUAAUGUGAACAUUACAAUUUAUAUUAUAUUUUAUAUUUCUCUGGGGCAAAGGUUGUUAUUGUUGUGGUUAAAGAUAAACAUAGAUAGAAAAAGCACCAUCCCGUGUUUCCAUGUGUGCGUUAACCCAUGAUGAUUUUAAUUUGCAGCACAACGGUGGUGCUUACAGUGAAGUGAUGACACUGACAACUGCAAAUUGGUCUUGAAUUAUUCCCUGGGUGUUGCUGGGGGCUGCGUAAAACACAUUGUGUUUCAGGGUAAGCAGAUGUGUCUGAAAGCAGAGUAAAUUUCUUCUAGUAUCAGUUAAACACUCAUCUCCAACCAUCUGUUCUCCUUGACUCUUUGCAUGGAAUUUCCAAAGUUACUGGUCUUUUUGUGUGUUGGUACAUACUGUAAAGACACAAAGUUCUUCCUUUUUUUCUUUACAGGUGCACUUUGUAAGAUGAUGGAAAAAUUAAUAAUAAUUAUAAUAUGAAACUUUAUCAAUCUUUAAAAUCACAUCUAAUACUUCACUUCAAUCUAAACUCUGAGUAUAAA